AUGGUCGCAUGCCUACACCUGGGAGGAGGACUUCACGCCUUCGACGACGACGAGGAUGAGCUGGAGGUCGAGGAGCGCAGGCUGGAGAAGCCCAAGAAGAUCAAGGCCGCCGCCAAGGACAAGGAGGUUGACAAGAAGAAGAAGAAGCCGGCGAGGACGUGCGUCCAGAUCGAGGAGAUCCCUGAGGACAACACCGCCGGCUGCGACGCCAUCCGCAAGGCCUUUGCCAUGGGGAACGGCAAGGGGAAGGCCAAGGAGCUGUCGCCACAGGAUGCCGCGCUGCUCAUCCAGAUGAACUACAGGGCGCACCUCGCCCACCGCUCCCAGGUGCUCAGCUGCCUGCGCGAUCUCGCCGUCGCCAAGGCCAAGCUCAAGGAGCUCCGGUCCCUCUUCUACAACCUCUCCUAUAGGCGCCGCCUCUCGCACGACCACGAGGAGCGCCAGAGGUUCUCCGAGAAGAUCAUUGUCCUGCUCCUCACUGUCGAAGCGCUCGAGGUUACAAAAGAACUACUAUGUACAGAAGAUAUCCUACCAUCUAUAUGA
rnacentral:rRNA from 1 species